AUGUUCGAGUAUGUAAAUGUUGUCAGCAAGAUGUUUGAUAGUGAGGCUGAAGGUUAUGAAUUCUACAACAAAUAUGCUCUCGAAAAAGGUUUUAGUGUGAGGAAAAGCUACGUUGAGUGGGAUGGAUCCAACAAAUACAUAAUUUUAAGGAAAAUUGUGUGUAGUCGUCAAGGGUUUCGCGAAGAUAAGCACAUGAAAAGAAAGAUGGAAGAUAGAAAAAGGAGGCCACGAAGUUUAACUCGUGUUGGGUGUAAUGCUAAAUUGGUCAUUACGAGACAGGAGGAAACCGGUCGGUGGUUUGUCAAGGAUUUCGUCGAUGAGCACAGCCAUCCUCUAGCCCCACGGAAUCUUUCUUGUCUGCUGCGUUCGCACAGACGAAUUAGCGAUGAGCAGAAAGCGGACAUUGCGGACAUGGAAAAAUGUGGGAUCCGCAAAUACCGUAUUAUGGAUAUUUUGUGCUUUCAAUACGGUGGAUUUGAUAAGGUUGGAUGCAUAAAGAGGGACGUUUAUAAUUUCUGCCAUGCUAAUAAGCAGGAGACAAUCAGUGCCGGUGAUGCUAAAACGGUGAUCAUGCACAUGAUGGCGAGGCGAGAGCGAGAUGUGGAUUUUUUCUUCAAGUACUUGGUAGACGAGCAUGGCCAUCUGAAGGGACUGUUCUGGGCUGAUAGUCAAUCGCGACUUGACUACGAGGCUUUCGGAGACGUCAUUGUUUUCGAUAGCACAUACAGAACCAACAAAUACAAUCUGCCAUUCGUGCCUUUUGUCGGGUUGAAUCACCACCGCAGCACUGUUAUAUUUGGCUGUGGUAUAAUUUCUCAUGAAACAAGCCAGUCAUACGAGUGGAUGUUGCGGACCUUUUCUGAUUGCAUGGCACAGAAGCAUCCGAUAUCUGUGAUCACAGAUGGGGACCUUGCAAUGCAGAGAGCAAUAAGGAUGGUCUGGCCAGACUCAAACCGUAGACUAUGUAUAUGGCACAUUCAGCAGAACAUUGUACGCCAUCUGCAUGAUGAUGACGUAAAGGAGGAAUUCAGAUCUUUCAUUUAUGAUACUUCUUCCAUUAAAGAGCAUGAGAUAAAAUGGAUACAAUUCUUACAACGGAAUAAAGUAACCAGUGAGGAGUCUUGGCUGCAUCAGAUGUAUCAGAUGAGAAAGUUGUGGUGUGCUCCAUAUCUUGAGGGGCGUUGUUUCCUAGGAUUGAGCAGCAAUCAGAGGAGUGAGAGCUUGAACUCUGUGCUACAUACGCAUCUUGAGGGUAAGAUGUCGUUGUUUGAAAUGCUAGAGCACUAUGAGCGUUGCCUUGCGUCAUGA
rnacentral:rRNA from 1 species